rnacentral:rRNA from 1 species
CCUACGGGCGGCUGCAGUGGGGAAUAUUGGACAAUGGGCGAAAGCCUGAUCCAGCCAUGCCGCGUGUGUGAAGAAGGCCUUCGGGUUGUAAAGCACUUUCAGUGGGGAAGAAAGCCUUGGGGCUAAUACCCUCGAGGAAAGACAUCACCCACAGAAGAAGCACCGGCUAACUCCGUGCCAGCAGCCGCGGUAAUACGGAGGGUGCGAGCGUUAAUCGGAAUUACUGGGCGUAAAGCGCGCGUAGGCGGUCUGAUAAGCCGGUUGUGAAAGCCCCGGGCUCAACCUGGGAACGGCAUCCGGAACUGUCAGGCUAGAGUGCAGGAGAGGAAGGUAGAAUUCCCGGUGUAGCGGUGAAAUGCGUAGAGAUCGGGAGGAAUACCAGUGGCGAAGGCGGCCUUCUGGACUGACACUGACGCUGAGGUGCGAAAGCGUGGGUAGCAAACAGGAUUAGAUACCCGUGUAGUC